rnacentral:rRNA from 1 species
AUACGGAGGAUGCGAGCGUUAUCCGGAUUUAUUGGGUUUAAAGGGUGCGUAGGCUGUACGUUAAGUCAGGGGUGAAAUGCCGUCGCUCAACGUCGGGGCUGCCCUUGAUACUGGCGUGCUGGAGUGCGGAUGCCGCCGGAGGAAUGAGUGGUGUAGCGGUGAAAUGCUUAGAUAUCACUCAGAACACGGAUUGCAAAGGCAUCUGGGGAAUCCGCUGCUGACGCUGAGGCACGAAAGCGUGGGGAUAGAACAGGAUUAGAUACCCUGGUAUUCCACGCCGUAAACGAUGAUGGCUAACCGCCGGCGACAGAUUGUCGGUGGCCAAGCGAAAGCGAUAAGCCAUCCACCUGGGGAGUACGACCGCAAGGUUAAAACUCAAAGGAAUUGACGGGG